CUGUCUGAAAGCUUCCAUAAGAUUUACAUCUGAAAACUGAAGCAAAAACAGGCUUGAGUUGAAGUUAAGAUGGAAAGACUACCGGAAGAUCUUUAUCUUAAGAUAUUCUGUUGGCUAGAUCACCAGAACCUUGCAACUGCUCAACAAGUUUGCAAGAAGUGGAAUUUCUUGGCCUCAGACAAUAAGUUAUGGUCUAACCUCUUCAAAGAGAGAUGGGGAGAAGAUCGUGCCAGCAUUCUAUGAGCCUAAUGACUCAAAAUCUUGGAAAGAUGUUUAUGAGGUGCAAGACCAAGGGGGCUGGAGAUAAUCAGAGAAGAGGAUGACUUCUUUCUUGCUCACCAAGGUGAAUUCCAUUGGUAUCUGGGCUCUAGGAGACGAAGGAAAGGCUUGUGGGAGAUGAAUCUCUGAAAGAAGAGAAACCCAGCCAAGGUAUUUUGGAUCAAAUGCUUUUCUUUGUUGGAGACCUGGAAGUCGCUUCAACAGAUGCGAAAUGCGGUUGGAUUCUAUGAGAAGUAAGUCUUCAAGGCAUCGCUGAAAAACUACAAUUGUAAAAUUUCUCAUGAUGUAUGACGUUGAAUCUUAUCAGUUUGCUUCUGUAUUUAUCGUCAUUGCAAUUGAAGCAUCUCACAUUCCAAUCAUUUGUCUAAUUUUUUCAGACUAAAUUUGUGCAAAGUGGCAAUACCAAAGCAAUAGAUGAAGUUGCAAACUUGUGUUAAUUUGUAAGAACAGUGUACUAUAAAAACAAAUUGCAAUUGUAGUAGCAGUCUGUUUGUCAUCCAGAUGGUUUGUGCUAGAAGGCUGGCGUUCUAUUCCUUGAUAAAGAAAAUGCCAGGCCUUUGAGAAUAAAAUGCCGGGUUGAGAAUUGUUAGCAGGAAAAAUGUCUUGCAAGAUCAAACACCAUCACUACUAAUAAUGUGCUGGAAGGUAUGGAAAUCCAGGCACAAAUGUGUUUUAGAAGGGUCUCAGAUUGAUCCUAGGACUGUGAACUCAGCCUUUAGAACUUGUGCUGAGUUGCUAGGAGCAAGGCGUUUCUUGUGCAAAUGAAACAUCAUGCUAUUCAAAUAAGCAGGGAAACAUCAUGCUAUUCAAACAAGCAGUCCAACCGUAUGGACAUCUCCUAGGGCAACAUUUCAACUUCGAAAAUCAACAUUGAUGCAGCCUUCAAAGGAAAUGAAAUUGAUGCUGGCAUUUGGAUUGUAUGGAUAAAGCACAGAGGUACAGCUAUGGAUGGCAUUUCACAGCGACCAAGGUGCGGAAACUCUUGGCAGGUUGAAGCUUAAUUUCCCUCUUUGAGGGGCAAUGAGGAUGGCAGUAUCAAGAAGACAUGACAAUCUGAUCAUUGAAACUGAUUCAGCCAUUGUAGCUGAAGCAUUAUCACAGCAACAUGAAGAUAUUAAUUGGGAUAUCUAUCAAAUCAUUGAUGAUAUUAAAAUGCUUUUGAGUAGUCAUCAAGAUUGGCAGAUUGAAAAGCUAGAAAUACAUGUAAUGUUUAAGUUCAUCUUCUUCGGCUUGAUAUGCAGUGCAAUGAGUUUGGGUUUUUAUACAAAGGGUCUUUCAUGAAAAA